UACGUAGGGUGCAAGCGUUAAUCGGAAUUACUGGGCGUAAAGCGUGCGCAGGCGGUUCGCUAAGACAGAUGUGAAAUCCCCGGGCUUAACCUGGGAACUGCAUUUGUGACUGGCGGGCUAGAGUAUGGCAGAGAGGGGUAGAAUUCCACGUGUAGCAGUGAAAUGCGUAGAGAUGUGGAGGAAUACCGAUGGCGAAGGCAGCCCCCUGGGCCCAAUACUGACGCCUCAUGCACGAAAGCGUGGGGGAGCAAACAGGA
rnacentral:rRNA from 1 species